CUUUUGCUUCACCUGGAGACACAGGGAUCCCCCAAGCUAGUACCCAUCGUUUACGGCUAGGACUACCGGGGUAUCUAAUCCCGUUCGCUACCCUAGCUUUCGUACCUCAACGUCAGUUGUGGACCAGAGAACCGCCUUCGCCACCGGUAUUCCUCAUGAUAUCUACGCAUUUCACCGCUCCACCAUGAGUUCUGUUCUCCCCUACCACACUCUAGCAUGACAGUUUGCCAGGCAGUUCCACGGGUAAGCCGUGGGCUUUCACCCGACACUUGUCACGCCGCCUACGUACGCUUUAAGCCCAGUAAUUCCGAACAACGUUCGCACUCUCUGU
rnacentral:rRNA from 1 species